UACGGAGGGAGCUAGCGUUAUUCGGAAUUACUGGGCGUAAAGCGCACGUAGGCGGCUUUGUAAGUUAGAGGUGAAAGCCUGGAGCUCAACUCCAGAACUGCCUUUAAGACUGCAUCGCUUGAAUCCAGGAGAGGUGAGUGGAAUUCCGAGUGUAGAGGUGAAAUUCGUAGAUAUUCGGAAGAACACCAGUGGCGAAGGCGGCUCACUGGACCGGUACUGACGCUGAGG
rnacentral:rRNA from 1 species